rnacentral:rRNA from 1 species
GACGAACGCUGGCGGCGUGCCUAAUACAUGCAAGUCGAGCGGACCUCUUCGGAGGUCAGCGGCGGACGGGUGAGUAACACGUGGGCAACCUGCCUGUAAGACUGGGAUAACUCCGGGAAACCGGAGCUAAUACCGGAUACUAUGUCAAACCGCAUGGUUUGACAUUCAAAGACGGUUUCGGCUGUCACUUACAGAUGGGCCCGCGGCGCAUUAGCUAGUUGGUGAGGUAACGGCUCACCAAGGCGACGAUGCGUAGCCGACCUGAGAGGGUGAUCGGCCACACUGGGACUGAGACACGGCCCAGACUCCUACGGGAGGCAGCAGUAGGGAAUCUUCCGCAAUGGACGAAAGUCUGACGGAGCAACGCCGCGUGAGUGAUGAAGGUUUUCGGAUCGUAAAACUCUGUUGUCAGGGAAAAACAAGUGCCGGAGUAACUGCCGGCGCCUUGACGGUACCUGACCAGAAAGCCACGGCUAACUACGUGCCAGCAGCCGCCGCGG